GAUGAACGCUGGCGGCGUGCCUAAUACAUGCAAGUCGAGCGAACGGACGAGGAGCUUGCUCCCUUGACGGUAGCGGGGGACGGAUGAGUAACACGUGGGUAACCUACCUAUAAGACUGGGAUAACAUCGGGGAACCGGAUCUAAUACCGGAUAAUAUUUCGAACCGCAUGGUUCGAUAGUGAAAGAUGGCUUUGCUAUCACUUAUAGAUGGACCUGCGCCGUAUUAGCUAGUUGGUAAGGUAACGGCUUACCAAGGCAACGAUACGUAGCCGACCUGAGAGGGUGAUCCGCCACACUGGAUCUGAGACACGGUCCAGACUCCUACGGGAGGCAGCAGUAGGGAAUCUUCCGCAAUGGGCGAAAGCCUGAUAGUGCAACGCCGCGUGAGUGAUGAAGGUCUUCGGCUCGUAAAGCUCUGUUAUUCGGAAAGAACAAACGUGUAAGUAACUGUGCACGUCUUGACGGUACCUAAACAGAAAGCCACGGCUAACUACGUG
rnacentral:rRNA from 1 species